rnacentral:rRNA from 1 species
UAGGGAAUCUUCGGCAAUGGACGAAAGUCUGACCGAGCAACGCCGCGUGCGUGAAGAAGGCUUUCGGAUCGUAAAACUCUGUUGUUAGAGAAGAACAAGGACGUUAGUAACUGAACGUCCCCUGACGGUAUCUAACCAGAACGCCACGGCUAACUACGUGCCAGCAGCCGCGGUCAUACGUAGGUGGCACGCGUUGUCCGGAUUUAUUGGGCGUAAAGCGAGCGCAGGCGGUUUCUUAAGUCUGAUGUGAAAGCCCCCGGCUCAACCGGAGAGGGUCAUUGGAAACUGGGAGACUGGAGUGCAGAAGAGGGGAGUGGAAUUACAUGUGUAGCGGUGAAAUGCGUAGAUAUAUGGAGGAACACCAGUGGCGAAGGCGGCGCUCUGGUCUGUAACUGACGCUGAGGCUCGAAAGCGUGGGGAGCAAACAGG